rnacentral:tRNA from 1 species
GGACCCUUAGCUCAGUUGGUAGAGCAAGAUACUUUUAAUAUCGAGGUCGCUGGUUCGAGCCCAGCAGGGUCCA